UGAAAUGAGCGUUGUCGAGAUUAAUAUAUGCUUUGCUUUUAGAAUAUUGUGUAUCUUCAUCGUUAUGAUAGAAGGUGAUGUCUACAUAAAGGCUAUAAAAAUAACGGCCAACAAUGUUGCGUGAUCCCAUAAUGAACCGGAGGUGACAAGCAUGGCGAAGACCGACUCCCGUUAUUUUGAUGACGAAAACACAUGUUGGGUGUAUGAUUGAUAUUCAUAAAUACAAAGACCGUGAAUGCAUGGGGAAGCCAUUGUUGACAUAAGCAAGUCUUCCGCUAAGGGACAGCACGAAAUGUAAUGAAGGGACAUGGGUGUUCCAAAAUAGGGCAGAACCAGCAGGAGUUGUUUCCCUUCGGGCGUAGCUGUGCAGUCUGAGAAAAAUUAAGAUAUAAAAGGCACAGGACUCCAUGAACCAUUUGCUUCUCAUAUUCAUAGACAACUUUCCUCCCAAGGCCACCAUAGAGCCUAGCUCAACCUUGGUUCCCUUCUUGCACAACUACUGUGACGUUUGCAACAAGAAGCCCUCUGGCUUUAUUGUCAUGGGAAACAUGUUUACACUGCCAAGCAAGUCUCUCGUGCUGAAGCUACAGCUGAAGAUCAGGGAGCAGCAGGACCUGCUCUUCUGCUUCAUGAAUUUCUUCACGCUGGAGGGUGCAGUGCACGUGCUCCAGUUCUGCCUCACGGUGGAAACUGCUCCAGGACCCAGAGCUGAGCAACAGUCAGCUGCUGGCAGACUUCCCAUCUCCUCAUAGUCUGGACUCAGUUCGUGGACAAGAUGCUGCCUGAUGUCAAUCUAGCUCUUCAAUGACCUGUUCAAGAACAACGCCAACUGAUCGGAGAGAGCAGAGAAGAAACACAACCAGAACUACUUCAUGAAGAUGAUCACUGUGGAAGGGGUCUAUUUUAUGUACAGUAUGUGAAAAGUUAGAUGCACAAAUAUUAUACACCCCCAGUAAGUAUGGCACCCAGGGUAUUCAGUGCAGUACACUGCACAACAUAGUUUACCACAAUUCAUCAACAACUUUUAAGGGCUGUUUGACUGUACUGUAUGAUUUAAACAGAAGUAAACACAUUUCAGUUCAGUGAUGAAAAGACCAGAUUAGGAUGUGUCAGAGUUUGUAUUCAUUUGCGUCUAUUUUCCUCAGUUGACUGGACCUGGUUCUUUUAGAACUGUUUCCUGAACUGAACAAGCAAGGACAGCAGGAGACUGCUUCUAACAUGGCUCCAUGGACGUGGCAAGAGGAUUGUCAGGCUUUAGUCUCUGCUUCAUCUGCUGCAUGUUGUUGGAAUAAACUGUAUACAGCACUUAAACCACUCAUACCGCUGCACUUGUGAUAAUUUUUACUGAUUCAUAAAACAAUAAUACUGAAAAGGAUGUGACUGAACAUGAUUGUGAUAAUAAAAGAAAAACGUCUGAAGACUCAUUAA